CUCCCUGCCUGCCAGUGUUGUCCCGAUUAUUAUUCAACAGUGACUCUGACUUGCUGGCAGAUGCAUGCUGGGCUCUUUCCUAUUUGUCAGAUGGCCCAAAUGAGAAAAUUCAAGCAGUUAUUGACUCUGGUGUGUGUCGACGACUGGUGGAGCUGUUAAUGCACAAUGACUACAAAGUGGCCUCCCCAGCUCUGCGAGCCGUCGGCAACAUUGUGACCGGGGAUGACAUCCAGACCCAGGUGAUUUUGAACUGUUCAGCACUGCCUUGUCUCCUUCACUUACUAAGCAGUCCUAAGGAGUCAAUUAGGAAAGAAGCCUGCUGGACAAUUUCUAACAUCGCAGCAGGAAACAGAGCACAA